rnacentral:ncRNA from 2 species
UACGUAGGCAGCAAGCGUUGUUCGGAAUUACUGGGCGUAAAGAGUGUGUAGGCGGUGUUCUAAGUCUGUCGUGAAAUCUCCCGGCUUAACCGGGAGGGUGCGGCGGAAACUGGAAUGCUUGAGGGUGGGAGAGGUAAGCGGAAUUCCUGGUGUAGCGGUGAAAUGCGUAGAUAUCAGGAGGAACACCUGUGGUGUAGACAGCUUACUGGACCACUUCUGACGCUGAGACACGAAAGCGUGGGUAGCAAACAGG